rnacentral:rRNA from 1 species
AGAGUUUGAUCCUGGCUCAGGAUAAACGCUGGCGGCGUGCUUUAUGCAUGCAAGUCGAACGGUCCUUCCUGCAAGGGAAGGAUAGUGGCGAACGGGUGAGUAACGCGUAAGUAACCUGCCCCCAAGUAGGGAAUAACUCUGAGAAAUUAGAGCUAAUACCAUAUGUGGUUCUUCACUACAAGGUGAAGGACUAAAGCUUUAGGGCGCUUAGGGAAGGGCUUGCGUCCGAUUAGCUAGUUGGUAGGGUAAUGGUCUACCAAGGCGAUGAUCGGUAGCUGGUUUGAGAGGACAUCCAGCCACACUGGGAUUGAGAUACGGCCCAGACUCCUACGGGAGGCAGCAGCAAGGAAUUUUGUGCAAUGGGCGAAAGCCUGACACAGCGACGCCGUGUGGGGGAUGAAGGCCUUCGGGUUGUAAACCCCUUUUCUCAGGGAAGAAUAAUGACGGUACCUGAGGAAUAAGUCGUGGCUAACUACGUGCCAGCAGCCGCGGUAAUACGUAGGCGGCAAGCGUUAUCCGGAUUUAUUGGGCGUAAAGAGGGCGUAGGCGGUUUUUCAAGUCGAUUGUGAAAUCUCCCGGCUUAACUGGGAGGGGCCAGUCGAUACUGUUAGACUAGAGGGCAGCAGGGGGAGGUGGAAUUCCCGGUGUAGUGGUGAAAUGUGUAGAUAUCGGGAGGAACACCAGUGGCGAAGGCGGCCUCCUAGGCUGUUUCUAACGCUGAGGCCCGAAAGCGUGGGGAGCAAACAGGAUUAGAUACCCUGGUAGUCCACGCCGUAAUCGAUGGACACUAGGUAUAGGGAGUAUCGACCCUCUCUGUGC